rnacentral:lncRNA from 1 species
UUUUUUUUUUUUUUUUUUUUUUUUUUCAGCUUAACCUCAAAGUCUUUUAGGACAAGAACUACUUUACUUUUACUUUUUGUUUCCCCCCAGUGUCUAGGGGUCUAAUAGGCCACCGGCCUAUGCCAGAGCCACAGCAAUGCAGGAUCUGAGCCAUGUCUGCGACCUACACCACAGCUCACGGAAACACCAGAUCCUUAACCCACUGAGCGAGGCCAGAGACUGAACCCACAACCUCAUGGUACCUAGUCGGAUUUUUUAACCACUGCACCACAAUGGGAACUCCUCUUCUUUUGCUUUUUUAAUCUUCAGUGUCUGUCAUGGUACUUAUCAAUCUAAUCAAUGUUCAAUGCAUGUUUGAGUUAAAUGAAGUUGACGCGCAGAACAGUUGGGCAACAAAAGACAGUUACUGAGUGUGCCAGAGCCAGAAUAUGUGAUACAGGCUGUGAGUACUAUAGAAUUCAGGGGAGAAGGGGGGGGUCACCAGAAUGUCACAAAGACCAGGCUUGAGGGACUUUGGGAAGGGAGAGGAGUUUCAGGCAGAGAAAGCUUCAUGAACAAAGGUAGAGACACAGGUGAGGACAAGGCUGAGCAAGAAAUAGAGAGACUGACCCACAUGGGGUGAUGUUGGAAGCUGCUGAGUGGAGGAAGUGGAGAACGGACCGUGUGGGUUUAGGAGGACUCAAAGCCAGUUGUGAGUUUUUGGAAAUACAUCGAGUGGGAGGAAAUGUCAGACAUGUGGGCUAAAUUAGAGGAGGGACGAGACAUCAAUUAGGUGUCUGGAAUAGGGACUUGGAGCAGAAGUGGGCUCCAAAUCUGUUUGGAAUAGAGACUUGGCAAUAGAGCUGACACAACAUCCAAAAGAGGUUUGGGGGGGAGGCUCGUUAUAUUGGUCACUAGAUUGUGCCAGGAGAUGAAGAGGUCUGAGAUAUAUGAUGUCAAAGAUGACUUCCAAUCUUAAGCCACUCUGCUGCCGAGUUGGGGUAGCAUCACUGAUUACCACGUAGAAUUUCCAGGGUGUAUGAAUGGGGGUCUGGUGUCUAACCAUGAGAUCAGGAAAGUCCUUAAAACCCAGACUGAAGCCCUGAGUCCAGAGGUCUUUGAGUCCAGUUCAGCUGUUUGACUAUGGACACGUUAUUUAAUGAUCGAGUCUCCCCCCUUACCCACCACUCCACGCAUUAGGAGUAAAGUAGCACUUCGAGGUGGCAUUAUCACAAAGGGUAGCUUAGUAUAAGAAUGUGCUUGGGAAGUAGCCAGUGUACCAUAAGGUCUAGCCUUCUUUCCCCAAUACUUCCUGAAAUUCACGAGUGGGGUUUUUGUUGUUGUUGCUUUUUGUUUGUUUGGCUGUGCCCAUGGCAUGUGCAAGUUCCAGGGUCAAGGAUCAAACCCACACCACAGGAGCGACCCAAGCCUCUGCAGUGACAAUGCUGAAUCCUUAACCCACUGAGCCGCAAGAGAACUGAAAUCCAAGAGUUUGAUGCUUACCUUUGAGAUCACUGACAUUUUUGCCUGCAAGCAAAAAUACUCAACUGGCUAGUGGUUAAAUCCUAUCUAACUUUUCCCCUAUACACGUUACAGAAAACUUAGUAACUCUCAGAAUCAGUAGUCCCCAAAUUCGUGGCUCCAGAAUUGGACAUCUAGCAACUCAACAGAGUUUCUUCCGCUUUCCCUGUCCUCUCUGCCACCAGCUUCAUAUGGAUCUCCUCUCUUUCCAGUUGUAACUUGGCUGCCACCAUUCCAGGUUUGGGUGGGGGGGGGGGUGAUAAAAAAAGAAAAACCUUUUCUUUCCCAGCAGACCUUCUUCUCUUUGUUUCUUGGCCCAGAGCCUUAUAUACCUACCUCAACACCGACCCCUGACAAGGGCAACGUAAUUACCACCUUUAGACCAAUCCCCUUUUAUUCCAGUCAUGUGAGAAAGGGAAGCAGCUAGUGGCUUGCCAGUGUUAGAACUGAUUUAAUGUAAGUCCCUGGAAUGGAAAUGGAUGCCAAAGGGACCUUCUUAAAUGUGGAUUCUGAUUCAUCUCAGUGGGGGUGAACCCGAGAUUCUGCAUUUCUAACAAAGCUCCCAGGGACGGCACUGUCCUUAGGGGACUGCACAGCAAAGUUUUGAGUAGAAAGGGGAAGGGUGGCCAGUAAAAGUUAGCUGCAGCUUCCCACCCCUGCCUGCUUGCCACUUUCUGGAAUGCUGGCCCAGCCUCAGAGUGAACAAUUUCUAUUCUGGUCCUGGAGCAGCCUUGGCUUCUGGAGCAGGUGGCUUAAUAAUGACAAAUGACCUUUGCAACUGCACUUCACAAUUUACAAAGCAUGUUUGUUACACCAUGGUUUUCAGUCUUCUCUGCAUAUUGCUUGUUUUCCUGUGAGAAAGUGAAGCUCAGAGAGGUAAUUUCAUAAAGGUCACGUAACUAAGGAGAGGUGGGGUUGGAGCCCAAACGUACAUUUCCUCACCUAAGUCUCUUCAUUUUGCUACUAUACUAUUUGGGUUUCCAUCUGAUAGAAGUGAGUUUUCCAUUUUCUGCCUAUUGCCUGAAUCCUUGAUCCCCUAGAUGGGGAUGCUGGUUUAAGUACUGCAUGCAGGAUACCAUUUCAAAGAUAGGUUAAAUAAUUUACCCAAGAUCAUAUGGCUUGUAAGUGUUAGAACUAGGUUAUAAAUGUAAGCCCCUGGGAUGGAAAUUGGUGCAGCUACUAUGGAACAGUGUUAUAGAACAGUAUGGAAGUUCCUUAAAAAACUUAAAAUAGAGUUACCAUAUGAUCCAUCAGUCACAUUCCUGGGCAUAUAAUCUGGAGAAAACUCUUAAUUUGAAAAGAUACAUGCAACCCCGUGUUUAUUGCAGCACUGUUCACAACAGCCAAAACAUGGAAACAAACUAAAUGUCCAUUGACAGAUGAAUGGAUAAAGAAAAUGUGGUACAUAUACAACAGAAUACUACUCAGCCAUAAAAAAGAAUGAAGUAAUGCCACCUGCAACAACAUGGACGGACCUAAAGAUUAUCUACUAAGUGAAGUGAGUCAGAAAGAGAAAGACAAAUACCAUAUGUUAUCACUUAUAUGUGGAAUCUCAAAUAUGAUACAGAUGGACUUACUUACAAAACAGAAACAGACUCACAGACAUAGGAAACAAACUUAAUGGUUACCAAAGUAGAAAGGAGGUAGGGGAGGGAUAAAUUAGGAGUUUGGGAUUAGCAGAUACAAACUACUAUAUAUAAAAUGGGUAUGCAACAAGGUCCUACUGUAGAGCACAGGGAACUGUAUUCAAAAGCCUGUGGUAAACCAUGAUGGAAAAGAAUGUGAAAAAGAAUACAUAUGCAUAUGUAUAACUGAGUCACUUUGCUGAACACCUAAAACUAAUACAACAUUGUAAAUCAACAAGACAUCAAUUUUUUAAAAAAAGUUAGCCCCUGAAUCAGAGGUUUGCCAUUUCUUCCUCUGUGCUUGCUGCUUACUAACACAGGGUACUGGGUACUGACCGCCCAGGGGUAAAUUUUCCACUACCCUAAUACUUGUCCUCCCUCAUUCUCUGCAGGGUGUUUCUGUGGCCUGGGACUGGUAAGCACCAACAAGUCCUGCUCCAUGCCACCCAUCAGUUUCCAAGACCUCCCUCUGAACAUCUACAUGGUCAUCUUCGGCACAGGCAUCUUUGUCUUCAUGCUCAGCCUCAUCUUCUGCUGCUAUUUUAUCAGGUGGGCAUCUCACUGGCUGACCCAGGGUGGAGGAUGAAGGAUCCAGGAGGAGGAGGCCAUGGGUAGGGUGAGCCAAGCAAAGCUCUUAGUAGCAGAGUCACCAGCCUCCAGCUUUGAGGACAGGACUUAGCCUGCCCUUCACUGGGCCCCUGAGGCCUGGUGUUUCUAUUUACAUCAGCCUAUCAAGUUGUUGGAGAGCAUAUAAGGUCAGCUUGGGUUGGGCUGCAUCCCGCCCACUGGCCAGUUAUUCUCAGAUUGCUUAGAAUGACUGUCCAACCAAGUAACGUCAUUGGUUCCUAACUGCCCCUCUCCACCCAUUCACACCUACUGCAUGGCCAGGAACAGGUGGGCAUCGUGACACCAAAGGCAUGUUCCUCUGCCCUCUGGGGAAAUCCUGUUGUCAUCCCUCCAGAUUCUAAUAUUAGCAAGCUGGUAGCUGCUGAGCUGCUUGUUUGUCCUGCCCUGUAAGCUCUUAUUUUCAAGAGAGAAAAAAAUGAAAACUGGCACUUCUGUUCUUACUGGGUAGGGAUCUGGGGAAGGACAUGAGCUCGGCAGCACUAGCCAAGCUCCAGGAGCAGUUUCUCCACUUCCUGAGGAAAGACAUAAGCACUGGUGACUGGUUUCUAUCAAAAAUGUGGGGCAUGCCUGGUAUUUGGAGUGGAAAAUACAGUAGUGUUUCCGACUAGGGUGCCCUAUUGAUAUUAACAAUCCCUCAUUGUAUGGGAUUGUCCUGAACAUCAGGGAACACUGAGCACCCCUGACUGGUAGAAUGUGCUAAUGAUGCUUAAAGCCAUUGUGGUAACCAACCUACACACACAAGCACAUUACCCAAGGUCGGGGUAGAUGUCAGCUGAGAGUCUAGGCUAGUGUCUGAUCAAAUCAUCUAAGAAGUUUAUUAAAGUGAAGGAUAAAGGGGAUUUCCCUUUGUGGCUCAGUAGGUUAAGAACCCAACUGGUAUCCAUGAAGAGGCGGUUUCAAUUCCUGGCCUGGCUCAGUGGGUUAAGGAUCCAGCCUUGCUGUGAGCUGCAAUACAGGUUGAGGAUGCGGCUUGAAUCUGGCGUCACUGUGGCUGGUAGCAUAGGCUGGUGGCUGCAGCUCAGAUUUAAUCCCUAGCCUGGGGACCUCCAGAUGCCGUGGGUGUGGCCCUAAAAAGAAAAAAAAAAAAAAAAAAAA